CAAAGUACGCCCACAGCCUGGUUUCAGGGUUACGGUUUGGUGGGUGAUGCUAUCGAAGCGAUUAUAUUUAUAUGCACACAGAAGCCUUAUUGCGUUGUUUGGAACAAAAGAGUUGACACAAGCAAAGUAAAAUGGCCUUGUUCAAAGUCCAAGGCGACGCCUGUCCCUGCGAUGCGUAUUGUGUCCCGCCAUGGACCUUCGCUUUGUAAGACGAGAACAAAGACUCCAGUGCAAGCAAUUGACGAAUUGUCCUUUCUGCCCCCAUCUAAUUGCAUCGCGAGCCUGUUAUAUUUUCUAAUUCAAAUGAAGUCCUGCAUGAUUCAUGCGGAUAUUAAACGGCGGAAUAAUAGUCGGAAGCAGAGGCAGAAGGUUGAAGUUUAAAACGAGGUUCUUACUGGACUUAAGGAAUUGAAUGUCCGGGAGGCUGCGGUUCCUGCCUUUGCAGAUGACCUCUGGACGCAUUUCUAUCGACUUCCACCUAGGUAUGCCGUGGAUUUGAAUGUGGAGAGAGCUCAAGAUGUUAUUAUGCAUAAAAGGCUGUUGCGUAUUGCACAUGAUCCUGCUACCAGACCUGCUGUUGAAGUCCGUCUUGUUCAGAUAAUUUACAUUUAUGUGACAAAUCGUAGCAGAUGAAGUUUGACCCUCGAUGCUUGUAUCGUUUUCUUUUCAUUUACGCUCCACUGGACUAGCAACUAAUCAUCUUGUCGCUGCAUCUUUAAUGGAGACAUAGAGUAGUCUGUACCGUGUUUUCGAUACUGUAUGUAGAUUUAAGCGGUUCUAUUUUCUGAGCUUAGAUUUUCCUGCUCGUGACGCUUCCCGUGUAUCUCCUUGUGAACUGUGACACUUUUUUAAGACGAGGAAUAAGUUUCCCUUCUGCAA